rnacentral:rRNA from 1 species
UACAGAGGGUGCAAGCGUUAUUCGGAAUAACUGGGCGUAAAGGGUACGUAGGCGGCUUUUUAAGUCAGACGUGAAAUCCCAGGGCUUAACCUGGGAAUGGCGGUUGAAACUAGGAAGCUAGAGUACUGUAGGGGGAGGUAGAAUUCCCCGUGUAGCGGUGAAAUGCGUAGAGAUGGGGAGGAAUACCGAAGGCGAAGGCAGCCUGCUGGG